UAGUUCGGAUUGUAGGCUGAAACUCGCCUACAUGAAGCUGGAAUUGCUAGUAAUCACAGGUCAGCAUACUGUGGUAAAUACGUUCCCGGGCCUUGUACACACCGCCCGUCACACCAUGAGAGUUGAGAAUACCCGAAGCCCAUGUCAAAGUGGUCGAAGGUAGGCUUGAUGAUUGGGGUGAAGUCGUAACAAGGUAUC
rnacentral:rRNA from 1 species